AACCAGAUAAACCACAUUCCUUUGACAGCCUUCUCAAAUCUGCGUAAGCUGGAACGAUAUAUCCCUUCAUCUCUCAACGUGCGGGGUUUCAUGUGCCAAGGUCCUGAACAAGUCCGGGGGAUGGCCGUCAGGGAAUUAAAUAUGAAUCUUUUGUCCUGUCCCACCACGACCCCCGGCCUGCCUCUCUUCACCCCAGCCCCAAGUACAGCUUCUGCGACCACUCAGCCUCCCACCCUCUCUAUUCCAAACCCUAGCAGAA
rnacentral:lncRNA from 1 species